GACGAACGCUGGCGGCGUGCCUAAUACAUGCAAGUAGAACGCUGAAGAGAGGAGCUUGCUCUUCUUGGAUGAGUUGCGAACGGGUGAGUAACGCGUAGGUAACCUGCCUUGUAGCGGGGGAUAACUAUUGGAAACGAUAGCUAAUACCGCAUAACAAUGGAUGACACAUGUCAUUUAUUUGAAAGGGGCAAUUGCUCCACUACAAGAUGGACCUGCGUUGUAUUAGCUAGUAGGUGAGGUAACGGCUCACCUAGGCGACGAUACAUAGCCGACCUGAGAGGGUGAUCGGCCACACUGGGACUGAGACACGGCCCAGACUCCUACGGGAGGCAGCAGUAGGGAAUCUUCGGCAAUGGGGGCAACCCUGACCGAGCAACGCCGCGUGAGUGAAGAAGGUUUUCGGAUCGUAAAGCUCUGUUGUAAGUCAAGAACGAGUGUGAGAGUGGAAAGUUCACACUGUGACGGUAGCUUACCAGAAAGGGACGGCUAACUACGUGCCAGCAGCCGCGGUAAUACGUAGGUCCCGAGCGUUGUCCGGAUUUAUUGGGCGUAAAGCGAGCGCAGGCGGUUUGAUAAGUCUGAAGUUAAAGGCUGUGGCUCAACCAUAGUUCGCUUUGGAAACUGUCAAACUUGAGUGCAGAAGGGGAGAGUGGAAUUCCAUGUGUAGCGGUGAAAUGCGUAGAUAUAUGGAGGAACACCGGUGGCGAAAGCGGCUCUCUGGUCUGUAACUGACGCUGAGGCUCGAAAGCGUGGGGAGCGAACAGGAUUAGAUACCCUGGUAGUCCACGCCGUAAACGAUGAGUGCUAGGUGUUGGAUCCUUUCCGGGAUUCAGUGCCGCAGCUAACGCAUUAAGCACUCCGCCUGGGGAGUACGACCGCAAGGUUGAAACUCAAAGGAAUUGACGGGGGCCCGCACAAGCGGUGGAGCAUGUGGUUUAAUUCGAAGCAACGCGAAGAACCUUACCAGGUCUUGACAUCCCGAUGCUAUUUCUAGAGAUAGAAAGUUACUUCGGUACAUCGGUGACAGGUGGUGCAUGGUUGUCGUCAGCUCGUGUCGUGAGAUGUUGGGUUAAGUCCCGCAACGAGCGCAACCCCUAUUGUUAGUUGCCAUCAUUCAGUUGGGCACUCUAGCGAGACUGCCGGUAAUAAACCGGAGGAAGGUGGGGAUGACGUCAAAUCAUCAGGCCCCUUAUGACCUGGGCUACACACGUGCUACAAUGGUUGGUACAACGAGUUGCGAGUCGGUGACGGCAAGCUAAUCUCUUAAAGCCAAUCUCAGUUCGGAUUGUAGGCUGCAACUCGCCUACAUGAAGUCGGAAUCGCUAGUAAUCGCGGAUCAGCACGCCGCGGUGAAUACGUUCCCGGGCCU
rnacentral:rRNA from 1 species